rnacentral:rRNA from 1 species
AUUGAACGCUGGCGGCAUGCCUUACACAUGCAAGUCGAACGGAUUCAAGGGGCUUGCUCCUUGAGUUAGUGGCGAACGGGUGAGUAAAGCAUCGGAACGUACCCAGUCGUGGGGGAUAACGUAGCGAAAGUUACGCUAAUACCGCAUACGUCCUGAGGGAGAAAGCGGGGGACUCGCAAGAGCCUCGCGCGAUUGGAGCGGCCGAUAUCAGAUUAGGUAGUUGGUGGGGUAAAGGCCCACCAAGCCAACGAUCUGUAGCUGGUCUGAGAGGACGACCAGCCACACUGGAACUGAGACACGGUCCAGACUCCUACGGGAGGCAGCAGUGGGGAAUAUUGGACAAUGGGGGGGAACCCUGAUCCAGCCAUGCCGCGUGUGUGAAGAAGGCCUUUUGGUUGUAAAGCACUUUAAGCGGGGAGGAGGCUACUUAGAUUAAUACUCUAGGAUAGUGGACGUUACCCGCAGAAUAAGCACCGGCUAACUCUGUG